rnacentral:rRNA from 1 species
GAUGAACGCUGGCGGCGUGCCUAAUACAUGCAAGUCGAGCGAAUGGAUUAAGAGCUUGCUCUUAUGAAGUUAGCGGCGGACGGGUGAGUAACACGUGGGUAACCUGCCCAUAAGACUGGGAUAACUCCGGGAAACCGGGGCUAAUACCGGAUAACAUUUUGAACCGCAUGGUUCGAAAUUGAAAGGCGGCUUCGGCUGUCACUUAUGGAUGGACCUGCGUCGCAUUAGCUAGUUGGUGAGGUAACGGCUCACCAAGGCAACGAUGCGUAGCCGACCUGAGAGGGUGAUCGGGCACACUGGGACUGAGACACGGCCCAGACUCCGACGGGAGGCAGCAGUAGGGAAUCUUCCGCAAUGGACGAAAGUCUGACGGAGCAACGCCGCGUGAGUGAUGAAGGCUUUCGGGUCGUAAAACUCUGUUGUUAGGGAAGAACAAGUGCUAGUUGAAUAAGCUGGCACCUUGACGGUACCUAACCAGAAAGCCACGGCUAACUACGUGCCAGCCGCCGCCGUAA